GUUGCUUCUUACUGGUGAACCCCUUCUGAUAAAGUGAUGGGAAUUCAUGUUUCCGAAGCAUAGAUAAAAUGUGACAGUUUUAAACAGCAUGGUGCUAAUCUUUUCGUGGCAUCUUGCUACCUGUCUCCUGCUACAUUA